UACGUAGGGUGCAAGCGUUGUCCGGAAUUAUUGGGCGUAAAGAGCUCGUAGGUGGUUUGUCGCGUUGUUCGUGAAAACCGGGGGCUUAACCCUCGGCGUGCGGGCGAUACGGGCAGACUUGAGUACUGCAGGGGAGACUGGAAUUCCUGGUGUAGCGGUGGAAUGCGCAGAUAUCAGGAGGAACACCGGUGGCGAAGGCGGGUCUCUGGGCAGUAACUGACGCUGAGGAGCGAAAGCGUGGGGAGCGAACAGG
rnacentral:rRNA from 1 species